GUCCACGCCGUAAACUUUGGGUGCUAGGCGUCGCGGGUAUUGACCCCUGCGGUGCCGCCGCUAACGCAUUAAGCACCCCGCCUGGGGAGUACGGUCGCAAGAUUAAAACUCAAAGGAAUUGACGGGGGCCCGCACAAGCGGUGGAGCAUGUGGUUCAAUUCGAAGCAACGCGCAGAACCUUACCUGGGCUUGACAUCUGGGGAACCCCCUGGAAACAGGGGGGUGCCUUCGGGAACCCCAAGACAGGUGCUGCAUGGCUGUCGU
rnacentral:rRNA from 1 species